AUUGUACUCUCUUCGUUCGGAAUUAUUUGUCGCAGGUAUGGAUGUAUCUAGAUGUAUUUUAGUUCUAAAUACAUCCAUUUCUGCGACGAGUAAUUUGAAACGGAGAAAGUAAAAG
rnacentral:pre_miRNA from 1 species